GAUAAACGCUGGCGGCGUGCUUAACACAUGCAAGUCGAACGAAGUUUUUCCUUCGGGAGAAACUUAGUGGCGGACGGGUGAGUAACGCGUGGGUAACCUGCCCUGUACAGGGGGACAACAGCUGGAAACGGCUGCUAAUACCGCAUAAGCACUUAGCACUGCAUGGUGCAUAGGGAAAAGGAGCAAUCCGGUACAGGAUGGACCCGCGUCUGAUUAGCCAGUUGGCAGGGUAACGGCCCACCAAAGCGACGAUCAGUAGCCGAUCUGAGAGGAUGUACGGCCACAUUGGGACUGAGACACGGCCCAGACUCCUACGGGAGGCAGCAGUGGGGAAUAUUGCACAAUGGAGGAAACUCUGAUGCAGCGACGCCGCGUGAGUGAAGAAGUAUUUCGGUAUGUAAAGCUCUAUCAGCAGGGAAGAAAAUGACGGUACCUGACUAAGAAGCACCGGCUAAAUACGUG
rnacentral:rRNA from 1 species